rnacentral:misc_RNA from 1 species
CCACUGCAUCAUGGACAGCGCUCGUGCACUUGAAGAGAGGCGCACUGCGCUUCUUUUUGUGGACACACAGACCACCAUAACUGACGGGCAUGUGCUGCAUCAACUCAUCGACUUUGCGGACUCUCUCGGCCUCGUCCUGCCCAUCUGGAUGUCGUACAACCUGUCGCUGAAAAGCGGACUUUGUCUUCGUCGCGGAACGGCGCCGAUAAACGUCUGGCACAGAUUCUGCGGCAAAUCGUUUUUUGCUGCGCAUGCAGCACAGAUUUUCCAUAUAAUUGACCGGAGCGAGCUGCGUAACGCUGAUCCGAGUGCCGUGUGCGACUUUAUACUGGAGCAAGUGAGUGCACCCAUGCUUAAGUGGGUGGUUGCAUGCCCUUCUAUGUCGCCACGAUUCCAUUCAACCCUGCUGCAGAGGGACAAGCACUUACUGUGGGUUCCCACCGAGCUGCGCUCCAGAGUUCCGGUGCACACAAAUCUGCACGUUACCUUUCCACCUUUUGCGACCUUUGUUCACGUGGAGCAACUAAGGCCGGACGAAAAACUCGCACGGCUCAUGAGCAUGCUCUACUCAAAGCCACGGUGCCCUUGACUGCUCUUCUCUUUUCCUCUUCCGUAUGGCAGGGCGAUGCUCCCUGCCUGCAUGUGCGGCUCCUGCUAUGUGUGUGUGCCUUUAAAAAAAAUCUCUCGUUCUUCUUCACGUUUCUUCAGAUACCGCGUAUCAUCGAAAGUAC